rnacentral:rRNA from 1 species
UCGAGGAUCUUCGGCAAUGGGCGCAAGCCUGACCGAGCGAUGCCGCGUGUGCGACGAAGGCCUUCGGGUUGUAAAGCACUGUCGAGAGGGAGAAAAGCGAAAGCUUGAUCUAUCUCUGGAGGAAGGGCGGGCUAAGUUCGUGCCAGCAGCCGCGGUAAGACGAACCGCCCGAACGUUAUUCGGAAUCACUGGGCUUAAAGGGAGCGUAGGCGGGCCACCAAGUCCGGGGUGAAAUCCUCCAGCUUAACUGGAGAACUGCCUCGGAUACUGGAGGUCUUGAGGAGGAUAGGGGCAAGUGGAACCGUGGGUGGAGCGGUGAAAUGCGUUGAUAUCCAUGGGAACUCCGGUGGCGAAGGCGACUUGCUGGAUCCUUUCUGACGCUGAGGCUCGAAAGCCAGGGGAGCAAACG